UACAGAGGUCCCAAGCGUUGUUCGGAUUCAUUGGGCGUAAAGAGCUCGUAGGCGGUCUGUUGCGUCCGCUGUGAAAACUCGGGGCUUAACCCCGAGCCUGCAGUGGAUACGGGCAGACUAGAGGUAGGUAGGGGAGAAUGGAAUUCCCGGUGUAGCGGUGAAAUGCGCAGAUAUCGGGAGGAACACCGGUGGCGAAGGCGGUUCUCUGGGCCUUACCUGACGCUGAGGAGCGAAAGCGUGGGGAGCGAACAGG
rnacentral:rRNA from 1 species